AGCCACGCGGUGGGCACAGAGCGAACUAUUCUUUCGCCUUUUACUAAAGAAUACCGUGUGUUCGCCGCAUUUAGUGGCAUACGCCUAUUUUUGGAGAGGCUCGCCCAUUGGGAGUU